rnacentral:rRNA from 1 species
AUUGAACGCUGGCGGCAUGCUUUACACAUGCAAGUCGAACGGUAACAGGCCGCAAGGUGCUGACGAGUGGCGAACGGGUGAGUAAUGCAUCGGAACGUGCCCAGUCGUGGGGGAUAACUACUCGCAAGAGUAGCUAAUACCGCAUACGAUCUAUGGAUGAAAGCGGGGGACCGUAAGGCCUCGCGCGAUUUGAGCGGCCGAUGUCAGAUUAGGUAGUUGGUGGGGUAAAGGCUCACCAAGCCAACGAUCUGUAGCUGGUCUGAGAGGACGACCAGCCACACUGGGACUGAGACACGGCCCAGACUCCUACGGGAGGCAGCAGUGGGGAAUUUUGGACAAUGGGCGCAAGCCUGAUCCAGCAAUGCCGCGUGCAGGAAGAAGGCCUUCGGGUUGUAAACUGCUUUUGUACGGAACGAAACGGCUCUGGUUAAUACCCGGGGCUAAUGACGGUACCGUAAGAAUAAGCACCGGCUAACUACGUG